rnacentral:rRNA from 1 species
UACGUAGGGCGCGAGCGUUGUCCGGAAUUAUUGGGCGUAAAGAGCUCGUAGGCGGCCUGUUGCGUCCGCUGUGAAAUCCCAGGGCUCAACCCUGGGCGUGCAGUGGAUACGGGCAGGCUGGAGGCAGGUAGGGGAGACUGGAAUUCCUGGUGUAGCGGUGAAAUGCGCAGAUAUCAGGAGGAACACCGGUGGCGAAGGCGGGUCUCUGGGCCAUUGCUGACGCUGAGACACGAAAGCGUGGGUAGCAAACAGG